CAUGGGUGGAGGAGCUGAGGGUGUGAGCAGGGCUGCAGCGGGCAGGUCCAAGGCAGGGAGAGUCUCCAUAACAGCUCUGCACGAUGGGAGGACCCCAAGACAGCAGCCCAAGGAGGACAGGCAUUCUCAUGAGACAGCCGGAAUCCAGGUCUUCAGCUCCUCUGUGGUGCCGCAGGGGCUCCUGGGAGUCCGCCAUCUUGUGGACAGUGAACGGCCAGCCGUCUGCUCUCUACUGGAUCUGAAGACAUCCCUGGGAGCAGAGCGGAUGUUGGUAGCAGAUUCCAGUAUGGGAAGCUCAGAGAAGUUUCCAGAUGGCAGAUUAUGGGAUUUUUUUCCGCCUUCAAAAUUGUGAGUUGACUUCCAUUUUAAAAAUUCCCUUACCUGUAUCUAUAUUUAUAUCCAUACAUGUAUCUAUCUGUAUCUUACUGGUUCUGUUUAUAUUGUGUAUAUGCAGUAGCUAUCAUAGACUUUUUUUUUAUAUUGCAGAAACUUUUUAUUUAUUUAUUUAUU